AUGUCUGCCUUAUCCAUUCACCGAUCAGAAUCCCCGACUCCCCGAGGCUCCGACGGCCCGACGCCGCCCUCGAUGCGCCGCUCGCGCCCGACAGCCUCCGGCGGCGGGCGCCGUCGAAUCCACCGCCCUCCACGGCCUCCUUCCAUCGCGUGGUUUAUUUCUUCCCCGGCAUCUUCGUCAUCAAUUCCGGCCGAGCUCCCCCGCCGCCGUCGGCUCCCCGCCCGGCUCCGGCGGCGCAACGCCGCCUCCGCCUCCGCUCCCCCGCCGUCUCUCCCGGCUCCACCGCCGGCCGGCGAGCCACCCCGGAUCCCUCUAGGCCCGCAGGUCACAAGUAACUCCCAACCCCCACCCCCGAACCCAUAUCCUAACUCUAACCCGCCGGAGUUCUCGCCGGACUUGAAGAAGACGCUAUCGUGGCAUUCAAUGAUUGGCCAGCAAAUUUCGAGUGUGGGAGGAGCAAAAUUGCGCGAGUAUGGUAUAGGAACGCGUGCGUGCGUCUGCAGAUCCAAUUAUCCAAUCUUGCAAAUAUUUGAUCCUGGGCCUUAUCUGCCCAAUGUAAGCCCCUCUCCAGUCUCCACCCCACUAGGUCUUCUGUAUAUAUGCACAAAGAGUAGACUAGAAGCAUAUGAAAGAACGGAACCGAAGGAGAAAUCAAGAGGAUCGAGGCGAUGGAUGAACCAAACCAAAGGAAUUCAGAGUCACAGCCAGAACCUGAUCAGGACGAGUUACCGUACAUGUACCAGCAAGAAGAGCACGUCGGGAUAAAGCAGCUGUAACAAGACCCACGGCAUCCAAGCAUGCUGGCCAUGACCGGCUUUCAGAGGUUUGGGAGUGUCCCGGCAUUGCCGAACCUGUCGUUUGGAAGCCCGGUGGCAGUCAAGAACGAGCCAGGGCAGCCGUCGUCGUCGACCAUCCUCUCGUUCGGCAGGCUGCCAGCAGCGAGCACGCUCAACUUCUCGUCGGGAGGAGAAGACUGGCCAGACGUCGCCGUCGAAGGGGUGCCGCUGGAGCCGCUGGAGAGGCGGAGCCGGUCGCAGUUGAGCACGGGUGGAGCAUGUCGCUGCCGAGCGAAAGCGGCUUGAGAAGAUGCAGCAGCAGUCCGUGGCGUUGGCUACCAUGGUACCUGACCUCACCAAGACGGACAAGAUCUCUAUCCUAGGGAGCACCAUCCAGUAUGUGAAGCAACUCGAGGAGAAGGUGAAGACACUAGAGGAGCAAAACGCUAGGAGAACAUCCUCUGAGUCAUCCACCGUCUUUGAGGGCAAGGGCCACAUAUCUUCCACCGACAAACAGCACACCUCAUGUCCUAGGCCCUGUUUGGAGUCGCUUAUUUCCCGCUUAUUGGUGGAAAUAAGCGAUAAACCCACCCAAACACCUUGCUUAUUUUGCGCUUGUCACGUAAGCCGCUUAUUGGAGAAUCUGAAAUACAACUAGCACUCCGCUUA